UUCGGUCCGCUGACGAGUGGCGAACGGGUGUGUAACGCGUGGAUACCUGCCCCGAGGUGGGGGAUAACAACUGGAAACAGUUGCUAAUACCGCACGCUCUCCAAGGAGGAAAGGCUUCGGCCGCCUUGGGAGGGGUCCGCGUCGGAUUAGCUUGUUGGUGAGGUAACGGCUCACCAAGGCGACGAUCCGUAGCUGGUCUGAGAGGAUGAUCAGCCACACUGGGACUGAGACACGGCCCAGACUCCUACGGGAGGCAGCAGUGGGGAAUAUUGCGCAAUGGGGGAAACCCUGACGCAGCAAUACCGCGUGAGUGAUGAAGGCCUUCGGGUUGUAAGGCUCUUUUAGUAGGGACGAUAGUGACGGUACCUACAGAAAAAACUCCGGCUAACUCCGUGCCAGCAGCCGCGGUAAUACGGAGGGAGUGAGCGUUGUUCGGAAUUACUGGGCGUAAAGGGCGCGUAGGCGGUCUUGCAAG
rnacentral:rRNA from 1 species